UGGGGAAUAUUGGACAAUGGGGGCAACCCUGAUCCAGCAAUUCUGUGUGCACGAAGAAGGUUUUCGGAUUGUAAAGUGCUUUCAGCAGGGAAGAAGAAAGUGACGGUACCUGCAGAAGAAGCGACGGCUAAAUACGUGCCAGCAGCCGCGGUAAUACGUAUGUCGCAAGCGUUAUCCGGAAUUAUUGGGCAUAAAGGGCAUCUAGGCGGCCCUGUAAGUCUAGGGUGAAAACCUGCGGCUCAACCGCAGGCCUGCCCCGGAAACUACAGGGCUAGAGUAUCGGAGAGGUGGACGGAACUGCACGAGUAGAGGUGAAAUUCGUAGAUAUGUGCAGGAAUGCCGAUGAUGAAGAUAGUUCACUGGACGGUAACUGACGCUGAAGUGCGAAAGCUAGGGGAGCAAACAGGAUUAGAUACCCUGGUAGUCCUAGCUGUAAACGAUGAUUACUGGGUGCGGGCAUGAAGAGUGUCCGUGCCGAAGCAAAUGCGAUAAGUAAUCCGCCUGGGGAGUACGGCCGCAAGGCUG
rnacentral:rRNA from 1 species